rnacentral:rRNA from 1 species
CGUAACAAGGUCUCCGUAGGUGAACCUGCGGAGGGAUCAUUACACAAAUAUGAAGGCGGGCUGGAACCUCUCGGGGUUACAGCCUUGCUGAAUUAUUCACCCUUGUCUUUUGCGUACUUCUUGUUUCCUUGGUGGGUUCGCCCACCACUAGGACAAACAUAAACCUUUUGUAAUUGCAAUCAGCGUCAGUAACAAAUUAAUAAUUACAACUUUCAACAACGGAUCUCUUGGUUCUGGCAUCGAUGAAGAACGCAGCGAAAUGCGAUAAGUAGUGUGAAUUGCAGAAUUCAGUGAAUCAUCGAGUCUUUGAACGCACAUUGCGCCCUUUGGUAUUCCAAAGGGCAUGCCUGUUCGAGCGUCAUUUGUACCCUCAAGCUUUGCUUGGUGUUGGGCGUCUUGUCUCUAGCUUUGCUGGAGACUCGCCUUAAAGUAAUUGGCAGCCGGCCUACUGGUUUCGGAGCGCAGCACAAGUCGCACUCUCUAUCAGCAAAGGUCUAGCAUCCAUUAAGCCUUUUUUUCAACUUUUGACCUCGGAUCAGGUAGGGAUACCCGCUGAACUUAAGCAUAUCA